rnacentral:lncRNA from 1 species
AAAAAUUAUGAACAGAUUUCUAGAAAGAAAAGAAAUGCCAAUAUUUUUACAUUCACUAUUUGGUGAAGGGAACAAUUUCGCCUGUAAAAUGACUGAUUGGAUUUCAGUUUAAUGCACAUGUUCGAAUCAUGCCAUUGUUGAAAAUUUAAAUAGAAUCAUAAAUCACUCUUUUUGUAAGUUACAAUACUAGGCCUGUAAAACUAUUGCGACUAGGAAAAAUUCUCUAUCAAUGCUUUGACAGUAAGCAUACAAAAUGAUUAAGCUCUCCCACUUUGCUUUUUAGUUCUGGAGUCGCUUGUUGAGACUGCUGAUCCAGAGAGCUUGUUGACCUCAUAGAGCAAUACAGCUGAGAACAGGAAACUGCAUUCAUGCAACAAACAUUAGAAUAACAUCAAUAAUGGUUUCGUAAAAAAUAUCAAUUGAUACAUUUUAUGGUUUUAAAAUAGGAGAAAACUUAGCCACAGUUCUCUAGGUGCUGAUCAAACUGUUCACCAAUAAAAUAAUGUCAAGUGGACUACUAACCCACAUCAGCCUUGUUAUGAAUAUGAACUAACCUCCUGUUAUCUCUCACUACUUCCGUUAACCCUCACAGUCACAAACAUUGAAAGUAUGUCACUCUCAUCAUCACUUGAAACAAACGCCAACAUCAAUGUUCACUUAUCAAUAUAGUAGAUCUUUAGUGGUAUCUUCUACAAUUAGAUUUUACAUCAAUUAUUUCAAAUUAAUAAAAACAACUCUAAUUUAUUCUCUCAACACUUCAGAAUGUGUCUCAGGUGCUGAUUCCUCUAUAUGUGACACUUACAAAACUUUAGAAUAUUUGAUUCUCAAAUUGAGAGAACCAGAAGAUUAAUGAUGUGGAACUUCCCCAUUCCAAGUGAUUGCUGUUCUUGUUUUUUUCUUAAAAAGUGACUAUUGUUCUAAGAAGUAAGAACUGUAAUUAGUUCAUAAAAGGUGUAGAAAGGACUAUUUGGGUGUUUGUUGGAGGUGGCAAAGACACAGUUGUUCUUUGUGGCUAUUCCGGCAAGGUGGUUGGUUCAUGAACUAUCAACUAUGGCAGAAGUGUCGAUCAGAAACAUUGGGGGUAGUUGUGCCAGGAAGAUAAAUAAUUGUGUGGGUUAAUCGUGUGAUAGAGAAGUAACGGAGGAUAGCUUGAUUAAAUUGACUAAUCCAGUUGUCCUUUUUUUAUUGGAAAACAGUUUAAACAGCAUCUAAAGAACUGUGGCUAAGUUUUAUCCUUUAAAAUAAUAAAGUAUCCACAGUUAGCCAUCCUGUUACUUUGCUUUAAAGACUUUAUCUUUAAAUACCAGACUAUGACAAUACCAAAAUACUCUGCUAGUUGCUAUACUUGACUAUUUUGAUUUUUUGAUUUUUACUUUACAAGACCCUUUUGAUUCCAUUGAAAAAUUAUGCUCUCCAAAACGGAAACAUCCAUCUAAUUUUUUGCAAUUAGCAAGUUCAGAAUUAG